rnacentral:rRNA from 1 species
UGGGGAAUAUUGCACAAUGGGCGCAAGCCUGAUGCAGCCAUGCCGCGUGUAUGAAGAAGGCCUUCGGGUUGUAAAGUACUUUCAGCGGGGAGGAAGGGAGUAAAGUUAAUACCUUUGCUCAUUGACGUUACCCGCAGAAGAAGCACCGGCUAACUCCGUGCCAGCAGCCGCGGUAAUACGGAGGGUGCAAGCGUUAAUCGGAAUUACUGGGCGUAAAGCGCACGCAGGCGGUUUGUUAAGUCAGAUGUGAAAUCCCCGGGCUCAACCUGUGAACUGCAUCUGAUACUGGCAAGCUUGAGUCUCGUAGAGGGGGGUAGAAUUCCAGGUGUAGCGGUGAAAUGCGUAGCGAUCUGGAGGAAUACCGGUGGCGAAGGCGGCCCCCUGGACGAAGACUGACGCUCAGGUGCGAAAGCGUGGGGAGCAAACAGG